AAAAAGGAAAGAUUUCUUACACCAAAAAAAUGAAUUAUAAAGUCAUAUACUAUACACAAUGUCAAAUAAAGGCAACAGUAGUAUACCGCUGUUCAAAAUUCAUAAAUCGAUUGAGAAAAAAAAAAAUCCGGGUUACAAACUAAAACUGAGGGAAACGCAUCAAUAUAAGAGGAGAACUACGACACAAAAAACACAACACUAAAAUGUAAAACACACAGAAACGAACUAUAAUAUAACAAUGGCCAUUUUCCUGACUUGGUCAAAUCUGACAUCAAAUUCACAAAUUGAAGUCCAAUAUUUUUAUAUAUAUAUUCAAUAUGAGGGUGUGGACAUGGGUUUUACAGAAUACAGAAUAAUGGGGAAAGUACAGAGUAAAGGGCUUUAAAAAUAAAGAAUAUAGAAAAGAGCAG
rnacentral:lncRNA from 1 species